AUUGAACGCUGGCGGCAUGCCUUACACAUGCAAGUCGAACGGCAGCACGGGAGCAAUCCUGGUGGCGAGUGGCGAACGGGUGAGUAAAGUAUCGGAACGUGCCCAGUCGUGGGGGAUAACGUAGCGAAAGUUACGCUAAUACCGCAUACGAUCUAUGGAUGAAAGCGGGGGAUCGCAAGACCUCGCGCGAUUGGAGCGGCCGAUAUCGGAUUAGGUAGUUGGUGGGGUAAAGGCUCACCAAGCCGACGAUCUGGAGCUGGUCUGAGAGGACGACCAGCCACACUGGGCCUGAGACACGGCCCAGACUCCUACGGGAGGCAGCAGUGGGGAAUUUUGGACAAUGGGCGAAAGCCUGAUCCAGCCAUGCCGCGUGAAGGAUGAAGGCCUUCGGGUUGUAAACUGCUUUUGUACGGAACGAAAAGGUUUGGGCUAAUAAGCUGAGCUCAUGACGGUACCGUAAGAAUAAGCACCGGCUAACUACGUGCCAGCAGCCGCCGUAAUAC
rnacentral:rRNA from 1 species